rnacentral:rRNA from 1 species
UACGUAGGGUGCGAGCGUUGUCCGGAAUUACUGGGCGUAAAGAGCUCGUAGGUGGUUUGUCGCGUUGUCCGUGAAAACUCACAGCUUAACUGUGGGCGUGCGGGCGAUACGGGCAGACUGGAGUACUGCAGGGGAGACUGGAAUUCCUGGUGUAGCGGUGGAAUGCGCAGAUAUCAGGAGGAACACCGGUGGCGAAGGCGGGUCUCUGGGCAGUAACUGACGCUGAGGAGCGAAAGCGUGGGGAGCGAACCGG